rnacentral:rRNA from 1 species
GACGAACGCUGGCGGCGUGCCUAAUACAUGCAAGUCGAACGAACUCUGGUAUUGAUUGGUGCUUGCAUCAUGAUUUACAUUUGAGUGAGUGGCGAACUGGUGAGUAACACGUGGGAAACCUGCCCAGAAGCGGGGGAUAACACCUGGAAACAGAUGCUAAUACCGCAUAACAACUUGGACCGCAUGGUCCGAGUUUGAAAGAUGGCUUCGGCUAUCACUUUUGGGUGGUCCCGCGGCGUAUUAGCUAGAUGGUGGGGUAACGGCUCACCAUGGCAAUGAUACGUAGCCGACCUGAGAGGGUAAUCGGCCACAUUGGGACUGAGACACGGCCCAAACUCCUACGGGAGGCAGCAGUAGGGAAUCUUCCACAAUGGACGAAAGUCUGAUGGAGCAACGCCGCGUGAGUGAAGUAGGGUUUCGGCUCGUAAAACUCUGUUGUUAAAGAAGAACAUAUCUGAGAGUAACUGUUCAGGUAUUGACGGUAUUUAACCAGAAAGCCACGGCUAACUACGUGCCAGCAGCCGCGGUAAUACGUAGGUGGCAAGCGUUGUCCGGAUUUAUUGGGCGUAAAGCGAGCGCAGGCGGUUUUUUAAGUCUGACGUGAAAGCCUUCGGCUCAACCGAAGAAGUGCAUCGGAAACUGGGAAACUUGAGUGCAGAAGAGGACAGUGGAACUCCAUGUGUAGCGGUGAAAUGCGUAGAUAUAUGGAAGAACACCAGUGGCGAAGGCGGCUGUCUGGUCUGUAACUGACGCUGAGGCUCGAAAGUAUGGGUAGCAAACAGGAUUAGAUACCCUGGUAGUCCAUACCGUAAACGAUGAAUGCUAAGUGUUGGAGGGUUUCCGCCCUUCAGUGCUGCAGCUAACGCAUUAAGCAUUCCGCCUGGGGAGUACGGCCGCAAGGCUGAAACUCAAAGGAAUUGACGGGGGCCCGCACAAGCGGUGGAGCAUGUGGUUUAAUUCGAAGCUACGCGAAGAACCUUACCAGGUCUUGACAUACUAUGCAAAUCUAAGAGAUUAGACGUUCCCUUCGGGGACAUGGAUACAGGUGGUGCAUGGUUGUCGUCAGCUCGUGUCGUGAGAUGUUGGGUUAAGUCCCGCAACGAGCGCAACCCUUAUUAUCAGUUGCCAGCAUUAAGUUGGGCACUCUGGUGAGACUGCCGGUGACAAACCGGAGGAAGGUGGGGAUGACGUCAAAUCAUCAUGCCCCUUAUGACCUGGGCUACACACGUGCUACAAUGGAUGGUACAACGAGUUGCGAACUCGCGAGAGUAAGCUAAUCUCUUAAAGCCAUUCUCAGUUCGGAUUGUAGGCUGCAACUCGCCUACAUGAAGUCGGAAUCGCUAGUAAUCGCGGAUCAGCAUGCCGCGGUGAAUACGUUCCCGGGCCUUGUACACACCGCCCGUCACACCAUGAGAGUUUGUAACACCCAAAGUCGGUGGGGUAACCUUUUAGGAACCAGCCGCCUAAGGUGGGACAGAUGAUUAGGGUG